rfam:Clostridium sp. CAG:1024 genomic scaffold, scf283
AUUAUGAUACUUGCGGUUUGAACGCUUCACAGCAUUGACCGCCGCGCCAUCAGCAUGGGGCGAGGUUGAGAUACCUAUGA